GUCGAGCGAACAGAAGGGAGCUUGCUCCCGGAUGUUAGCGGCGGACGGGUGAGUAACACGUGGGUAACCUGCCUGUAAGACUGGGAUAACUCCGGGAAACCGGAGCUAAUACCGGAUAGUUCCUUGAACCGCAUGGUUCAAGGAUGAAAGACGGUUUCGGCUGUCACUUACAGAUGGACCCGCGGCGCAUUAGCUAGUUGGUGGGGUAAUGGCUCACCAAGGCGACGAUGCGUAGCCGACCUGAGAGGGUGAUCGGCCACACUGGGACUGAGACACGGCCCAGACUCCUACGGGAGGCAGCAGUAGGGAAUCUUCCGCAAUGGACGAAAGUCUGACGGAGCAACGCCGCGUGAGUGAUGAAGGUUUUCGGAUCGUAAAGCUCUGUUGUUAGGGAAGAACAAGUGCGAGAGUAACUGCUCGCACCU
rnacentral:rRNA from 2 species